GCUAGGGAAGACAGUAAAGACACAGGGACCUGAGUUCAAGCUCUAGCCACAUCAAAAGAGCCAUGCAUGCUAAGGGACCUGAGAACAGAAGACAAAAUGUGAUGAAAACACAAGUUGAGCUGUAUGAUAAAUGUAUGAAAGAACUUCACUGAAGCCUAUAGGGGGAAGGAUUCUAACAACUUUAGAAUCUAAAGAAAACUACAAGAUUACUUAUUUGUCCAGUUUUCGUCAGAGAAACAACUUCUUACUCAAUCAGGUAGUAGUUAAAGCGGAGACGCAAAACUAACCAGAGUGGUGCUGGAGUUUCAGCCACAUGAAACCCCAAAGUGUAACGAGUCAAAGAGAACCCACAGCUGUCAUGAGGGAACAGGGAAAGCUGUAACGCACAGUAAGAGGCUGUAAAACAGCCUUGACUCCACAACUACAAGUGUUAAGAUAAGCACA